UCCCUGGUGGCUCAGAGGUUAAAGCAUCUGCCUGCAAUGCAGGAGACCUAGGUUCAAUCCCUGGGUUGGGAA
rnacentral:tRNA from 1 species